UCCAGCAGGGAACCUAAGCCACAUACUUUCUUAAGCUUGGCACACUAGUCAAUAACUCCGGAAAAAUGCACUUAGAUUAAAUAUUUCAAAUACCACAAUGUCUGCAAGUGUAAGGCUAAUGUGGUAAAAAAAAAAAAAAAAAAAAACAACACGGAGAAAAACAUUCCUAACAUAUCUCAAUGUCAAAGCUAUGUUCUAGAUUUUCAUAUUGCAAUAAUCUAUUCACAAUAAACUGUAGCUAUAUAGAUUUAUGUUAUGUCUAUGCGAUGCACAAGAUAAAUGUGAAUUUUUUUAAGGUCUUUGCAUACUAGACAAUAACCUUUUUCAACACUGUACUGUUAACAAAACAGCAUUUCAUUUCUUUUUUACAAAGUAGUAAGCUACAAGAUUUUUUUACAUUUUAACAUUUAUUGUGCAGAAAAAAAAUGUAUUACUAUAAAAAUAUAUUUUUUUUUUUUACAAACUGAGGGACUUUGUUUUGCAUUACAUAAGCUUCUUUUUUUAUGAUAACCCCACCUGUUUGAGUCCACAGAUCCUGCAAGCUCCUCAUAUUCCAUGUGAAACACACUGGAGAAUGUGUUCUGUAACAUAAGCAGAACAGUAAUUACUUACUCUGCAGUUUCACUCACAGAGGUAAACUCUGAGGAGGUUUAACACAGAGGUAAGCCAGUAUUUCUGAGGCUUUUUAAUGCUAUUAGUGUCUGGCCGCCUGUGUAAACUUAACAUUGAAUAUCUGCAGUCACAUAGUUUAAUGUGCCUGUGUUUGUAAAUUUCUGGAAGGGUUAGAAUUUUCCACUCGUGACAAGUAAAUAGUUAUGUAGCAUGGUUCACUGCAAAAAGCAUUCUGCAAGCAGUCAAAACCAACCGUUCACAAUGGACCUGUGCAAUGAACAAGGAGAAAUGCAAUAAAUUCUGGUCUUUCCAAAUUUGAAGACACUAGAAGGACAAUGUCUGAAUAAAAUAUGGCGCAUUUCGAAUGCAGUUCAAGAGGUGAAACCUGCCUGAGUUAGGAAGUACACCUCAGUUUUCCACAAUGGUUAAUCUCUUUCCGUAACACUCACUAUGACUGUGACCAGGAAAAUGAUUUCAUCAAAUUAACAAGCUACUACAAAAAAGGUACAAAAAACUUUGUGUCAAGAUGAGGAAAACCAGAGAUUUUCCUAUGAAGAAAAAAGUAUGCAGAUCUAGUUUUCUGGGUCAACAAAUGACCUCUGAAUUAUGAUACACAUCUCAGAAACAGAAGUCCUUCUCUGUGAUAUCACCUUCAUCAUAACAACUCACCUAUCUAGACAACCUAAACAUGUGGAUGUAGAAUCUAGUUCCUUUGUAUCUGGCAUGUAUUAGUGUUGUUUUUACAAAUUAAAUACUAAACAAAGAUUUUUGCCUUUGCUUAGAAAGGACAGUUAAAGAAACCAGUUAGGAGAAAACAAAGAAGAAAAGAGAGGGGAAUGGGAUCAGGAAACGACCACAAGCUGGAACUCAGGUCGCCCGAAAACUGUUUCCCUGUCAGAAAUGAAGAUUGUGCAUUCUUGGGCCUGCAUGAAAGACAAGAUAGUGGCCACAGUUUUCCUCAGUAAGACCUCCAAAGACUGCUGCUCCUCAAAGAUCAGGCUAGCCAGAUCCAACAACACCUGCAAAACAAC